rnacentral:lncRNA from 1 species
AUCUCUGCAAUUCUCCCCAAAGUUUCUGAACUGAUGCGACAAGUAUCUCCAUUCAGUGUCCUGAAUUGUUCAAUUACUGUGAAAAUGCACGAUUCUGACAAAGUCGACGAUACUAAUCGAUUUUGUGGCUUCUUUCCUGAAUCGGUGUUGAAUUUGUGUUACAGGUUGUGGAUAUCUUUGUAAUUAAGAGUCCAAUUGUAAUCGAUAAUUUGCAGCUUGAUUUCAUUUAUGGUAAGU